GGUACACUAUGAAUUUUAGCUAAAGUGAUUAAAAACCAGAUUAAAAGAGGUUGGAAAUUCUUAAAUAAUAAAGAGAAAAGUUAUGGAAGAGAGGAUUCUCUAGGGAAAAUAAACCUAGGGAGAAACCAUCACUUCUUAACAAGUAAAUCUGAAAUUUUAUUUGUGUUACAGAGCUUAUAUGGACAAAAUAAGUCACCAAACUGCUUCAUGAAUACAUUCUGUGUUCCUGCAAUGGUAUCUUCAGUCCACCUGCCAAAAUGAGUCUGUGCUGACAGUUGAAAUAACUCUUCCUGGAGAAAGGUGCAACAUUUAUUAAUCUGAUGGAGAAAAUCCACAGAUGAUACAGAGUGAUACAGAGAGUUCUUCCACCAUGACUGCUUCAAACAAUCAGAGCAACGCAAAAAGCAGAUUCAUUAAUCCAUCCAAGAGAAAAGCACUCCCUUUCAUCUGCAUGAUAAUGAUUUUGCCUCAUGACUUCAAGAAGUGUCUGUGGGUGGAAACAGGAGACCCAUCACUCUUCUGAGCCUCCUGAAGGAGUUGUUUCCUCAAGCACUGGAGUUAAAGGACAUGAAUUCAUCAUUACACAACCACCUCUCAUCAGUAUUUCACCUCCCGCCUCUAGGCCAGAAAAUCUGCCAUUGCAUUUCACUCACAGAAAUCUACAUUGCAGGAAGGCCAAUUAAAAUAGGGGCGGAGAAAUAAUGAGGGAGGGAUAAAAAAAUGGAUUAGCUGAAUGUUUGAAGUCACAAGCUCUAUAUGGCGUUUCUUAAUAGCAGAUUUUUGAAAGCAAUACAAAACAACUUUUGACUAGAAAAAUGUCAGACAUUAAACUUUAAUUACUUCUUCUCCUUAAUUUUCUGCAAGAUCCUGAAACAGAGAAGUCAUUGAAUCCUCACUCAAUGGCUUGCGAGUCUUAACUAUGGAUUUACUGCUAUUGAUUCAUAAUAUAGUAGCCUAGGAGAAAUAGACCGAAUUGAUUAAAAUUACCCAUUUUUACUGAAUUAUAUUGUAAUGAAUUUUCCUCUAGUUGAACAAAAGACACAUUAAUGCAAUCUAAAGUUCUCUUAUAUGAAGAAUCAGAAGCAGGAAAAUGGAAGAAUGAUUUUGAACUUAACACGUGCUGCCUAUUCUAAUCUCAGCUGCAAUUGCAAAAAUGAUGUUCUCCAAAUUACAUUUGGAUGUAAACAGCCCAAAUAUGUGUACUGCUGUAACUGCAAUGAAACUUCAACAUCCAGAAUGUACAUGAUAAAGUACAUUAUUCUGAUAUGAUUCAUUUUCUAGUUAGGGUUUCAUUUCGAGAGUCUCUUAUAUUGAGUCAUGGAAUAUGCAAGGAUUUGAAUUAUUAAAUUUGAAGAAGUGUCAUUUAAGUCUAGCUAUAGAAUUCCAAAAAUAUUUUUUUAAAAGGAUAAGACUUUUUAACAUGGAUAAAAUAAAGUACCUACACAGGCUGUAAUGAACA
rnacentral:lncRNA from 1 species